rnacentral:lncRNA from 1 species
UGUAAUGACACAUGUAGUGUAAUUGAAACGGGCCAAGAAUUUCUUUUCGGGUCUCGAUGAAUUAAGCCCAUUUCAACCCUAAAACCCUAACUCUCCUAGGAGUAUAAAUUCAUCGCCAUCAGCUCCGAUCCAAUUUUGUCAAAAGUUGCACCAGGUUUAGGGUUUUCCUUCGCCAGAGAGAGGAGCCAACUUUAGUCAUGGCGUCGAAAACAGAAUCCGUACAAUGCUUCGGGCGGAAGAAAACUGCCGUCGCAGUUACCCACUGCAAGCGUGGCCGUGGAUUGAUCAAGAUCAACGGUGUCCCCAUCGAGUUGGUCCAACCGGAAAUUCUGCGCUACAAGGCAUUUGAACCCAUUCUCCUCCUCGGUCGCCACCGGUUUGCCGGAGUGGAUAUGCGCAUACGUGUCAAGGGUGGUGGUCACACCUCCCAAAUAUACGCUAUCCGUCAGUCCAUUGCCAAAGCCCUCGUCGCUUUCUACCAGAAGUAUGUGGAUGAGCAGUCCAAGAAGGAGAUCAAGGACAUCCUCGUCAGGUACGAUAGGACNNNNNNNNNNNNNNNNNNN